GACAGAGGGUGCAAACGUUGUUCGGAAUUACUGGGCGUAAAGCGCGUGUAGGCGGCUAAGUAAGUCGGGCGUGAAAUCCCACGGCUCAACCGUGGAAGUGCACUCGAAACUGCAUAGCUAGAGUCCUGGAGAGGAAGGUGGAAUGCUUGGUGUAGAGGUGAAAUUCGUAGAUAUUCGGAAGAACACCAGUGGCGAAGGCGACUUACUGGACACAUAUUGACGCUGAGGUGCGAAAGCGUGGGGAGCAAACAGG
rnacentral:rRNA from 1 species